UUAUUACUCCCUCCGUCCCAAAAUUCUUGUCUUAGAUUAGUCUAGAAAUGGAUGUAUCUAAUACUAAAACGUGACUUGAUACAUCCGUAUUUAGACAAAUCUAAGACAAGAUUUUGGGAUGGAGCGAGUAACUU
rfam:Triticum aestivum genome assembly, contig: Triticum_aestivum_CS42_TGACv1_scaffold_526392_6DL